rnacentral:rRNA from 1 species
UACGAAGGGGGCUAGCGUUGCUCGGAAUCACUGGGCGUAAAGCGCACGUAGGCGGCUUUCUAAGUCAGGGGUGAAAUCCUGGAGCUCAACUCCAGAACUGCCUUUGAUACUGGAGAGCUUGAGUCCGGGAGAGGUGAGUGGAACUCCGGGUGGAGCGGUGAAAUGCGUAGAGAUCCGGAGGAACACCGACGGCGCAGGCAGCGUCCUGGCCGCUUGCUGACACUGAGGCACGAAAGCUGGGGGAGCAAACAGG